rnacentral:lncRNA from 1 species
UAUAGGAGGCCAAUGUUAGAUCUUUCUGAAAUGCAGAGAUUGUACUAUACAUUCCUCUCUUGAGAACUUGCAACAUUUUGGAGGGUAAUCUCCACUUUGUUCUUGGGAAUAGUUCCAGUGCUGGUCACCUGGUAUUCUUUUAGCAGAUAUAACAUCAGUUGGUUACUAGUGAACCAAUUGUCAAUUGUGACAAUUAGGUUACUUUUUAAAUAGAUGGAACAAGUCUGUUUACAACAUCAGAUAGUUUAUUACUGCAGGAAUAAAAGCCUACUGGCAGAGUUCCAGGAUAAAUUUCUAACUUCAAGGUAUAAAAUGACUUCACCUACCAGAGGAUAUAUUUUUACACCAUACUUGUCAAUAGGGCAUAUGAUAGAUGGACCUGCAAAUAAUAUAAGGAAAAUAUUAUAGCUCCCAACCUGCUAGAUUCAAAGGUUAAAAUAUGGAUAUCUGCCUUUUGGGCUUCUUUUGUAAGCUAAUAGAGAGGUUGUGGAAUUUUACUGUAUCUUGCUAUCUAAAGGCGACAAAAGCCUAUAAUUCCUAGGAAUCCCCUUAGCUGUUUUAGAGUCUGGGCUGUGGGAAGGAAAGAAUUGGUUUAAUUCUUUCUUCCCCCAGCUUUUAGGUCCCCUUGGAUAUGAUAUGGCCCAAAUAUUUUACCUCAAGGCUGCAAAGUUGUGCCUAGAUCUAGAAAUCUUAUAAUUCCUGUCUGCCAAAAAAUUUAGCAGAGCACAGGUGCCUUAGCUAGAAAGCUCUUCUGAGGGGGCACAUAACAAUAUGUCAUCUACAUAUUGUAAGACUGUGACUUGGGAAAAACUACAGUGUUUAAACAAGAUAAAAUAUCUCUCCCCAGGAGAGGAACUGGACAUUUAGGCAUAAUUAAGAGGAAUGUGUAAAAAGAAAACUGUCCCAGUUAUAGCCCAAAAGUUUUGAGAAAUAGUUACCUCCUCUCAAUAGUGGCUACUUUCACUGAGGUAUGCCAUCUGGAAGGAAGGCCAGGGUUCAAAAGAAGGACCAAGAGACAUGCACCAGUGUCCAGCAAUAGGUGGUUUGUUUAUCCCUGUAGUCAUCAUUACCUGGGGCUUCUCCAUGGAGACGACUGUCCAGCCAGAGGGAGGGCACAGAGAGUGCCCUGGGGCCCUUCAGUCUUGCUGCACUGUCUGGUAAGAUGGGUCUGUGCUCUGGGGCACCCACCUCAGUGCAGUCUGACUCCCGCUGGCCACCUUGGCAGUUGGGGCAUGACUUACAGGAAUUCUGUGGCAGUCCCUCUUAAGGUGGCCUGGCUCCACAGCAGUGCAGGUGAGAUUAGUAGCUGUUGAGCUCUCUUCGGGCCCCCCAAACCAAACAUAGCAUUGUUCCUUUAAGGCUGUGAUUAAAGCAGCCUCAUCCUUUUGGUCUCUGUUUUCUUCCCUUGGCUUCUUCCAGAUCUUGAUUAUAAAAUACUUAGAAGCCAGUUUUGACUAAAGUAUCAAGUGAACUAUCUGGAGCAAAAGCCAGAAAAAUAUUAAAUGGCUCCUUUUUUUGUUUUUUUUUCCUUAGUUCUGGGCAUCGAACUUGGGUCCUUGCACUUGUGCAGCAGGCAGCGAAACCACUGAGCUAAAUCCUCAGCCCAAAAUGGCUCUUUUUCAACAUGUGAGGGUCAAACAUUUUCCAGUGCUUAAGAAUACAUUCCAGGGCCAGGAUUUAGCUCAGUGGUUCCACCGCCUGCCUCGAAAGUGCAAGGUCUUGAAUUCGAUCCCUGGUACAUAAAACAAAAAAAGAAUACAUUCCAAAGGAGUAGGAAAUUUUGACAUUGAGUAUCCCAUUUGAAACAAGAAAAAGAAGCUGGCAUCCCUUUUAAUUUCUACUUGAUUCUUGUAUCUGCAAAGCAUCUCCGAGAUGACUACUCCAGAGUGGGAGCCAACCUCUGGAGAGAAACUAUAAGAUAGGUCAGGAUAAGUUAAGCCACCGUUACUGGCUCAAGACCCUGUCUUCCCCAAGAAACUCAUAUUCCUUAUUCUAGCAGAUGUUUCUAAAAGCUCAAGCUAUAACUGAUUCUAUCUGUAAAAAACAUUGCCAACAAACCAAUAUCAAGAGAUCUAACUCAUUAUUUUCUAAUUCUUUGAAAGAGAGUUAAAAAAUAUCAAAGAGCAAGUUGGAAAUAGUUGGAGCACUUCUCAGCCUAUAAAAGAGAUCACCACGGGCCGGGGAUUUAGCUCAGUGGUUUCGCCGCCUGCUGCGCAAGCACAAGGACCCGAGUUCAAUCCCCAGUACCAAAAAAAAAAAAAGAGAGAUCACCUCUAGAAAUAGAGUCAGGUAAAAUGGCUCAGAGAAAUCUUGCCCUGGGCCUGAGGUCAGAAAAGCCUCUAAGACAUUCCUGUUAUCUACAUAAUCACCUCAGCAACCUUCUCUUGGGCCAGUAGGCUGAAAGGAAGCUGAUCAGGCAAGGUUCUCAAUGAAAAGAAUGUCCAUGGAGCAGACAUUACAAAGCAGGAACCAAACUUUAAUCUUACAGCAUACCACUUAUAGUGGCUGUUACCAUUUUCUCUGAGACACAGUAAGACAAAACAGCCGUGUGACUUUGCAUAGCCAUGUGGUAUGUGCAUGGUCGUCCAUGCUGAUUUAUUAUUAUUAUAACAAACUCCUCAUGCACCUGCACUAAUGACAGAGUUGAGUCCUCAGGUGCCUCAAGUGCCCUCAGUCACCCAGGCUUUGACACAUCUGCCAGUGGCCCCCUGCACCUUCCUUAGCAGCAGGACAAGGCUACACUUUAUUCAAGGUCUAAUCUAAAAUUUCUGUCUCUGAAGCCCACAGGUUAAACUUAUACUCAUCACCCAGCAACCACAAUUCACAUGUUAGUAAAGGCACAUUUAUCAGGUUUUUGUGCACACGUGAAAGAAGAGAAAGGCUGACUAAAAUCCCAUUUUUACUCUUAGCAUAUAUAAAGCACAAAUGUAAAUCACUAGCUGAUUGCUGUUCUCCAUGAAAGGUAAAUGGUUGUUGUAAGCUGCCUCAUCCUGACUUCCUGGAAGGAGAGGGGGUCUAACUACAAGAUAGUUCUAAAGUUAACUCCCAAACAGUUGAAGAAAAGCUUAGGGGGAGUUUUUCACUUACUAGCAGAAAGAAAAGGUACAGAUAAAAGCCAAAGAUGUCUAAAACCUACCCCCAAAAAAAUUAUUACAUAGCAUUUGACAAGUUCACAGUAAAAGUUUUAAAGUGUACAACUUAUUUGCAAAAGUAUUUCCCUCCCUUACCCACAAAAAUCAUGAAAACCAGAUGUAGGGGAGAGAGAGAGAGAGAGAGAGUGAGCGCGCGCGCCAGCCAGGAUGUUAGUGAUUCUCUUAAACUAAAUAAGAGAAUCACUAAAUGUCCCUUAAAUGUCAUGCUUAGGAAAUAGCUCCUUUUAGUCUCACCCAGAAGUUGGUUCUUUUCACUGGGUCUCAGGUUCAGUCUCCAAGGAAGACUUGCCCAGAACACUGAGGAUGGAAAUCACUCGUUUUUUUUUUUUUUUGGUACCAGGGAUCGAACUUGGGUCCUUGCACUUCCGCGAGGCAGGUGGCAGAACCACUGUGCUAAAUCCUCGGCCCUAGGACAUCACUUUUAUGGUGUUCUCUUGGACGGACUAAGUCUCAAUGUCUCAUCAGACCCAGAGAUGGGAAAUUUCAGUCUUUGCAUGGUUGGAGGCAUGAUAGAACGGCCUGGCCAGAAGAAAACUGCUCAUCUCAUGGCAGAUAGGAAGCAAGAGAGAAGAAAAGGAGGAGCUGGGGAGGGAGAUACACCCUUCUAGAUCAUACCGCCAGGACCUACCUCUUCCAAUCAGACCCCACCUUGCAAUAGCAAGUCACCCAUAUAUCUCCAUAUUCCAAUCCCCUUCCAAACACCUGAAGCCUUGAGGAUCAUUUUAGAUCUAAACUCUUACAGUACCCAAGGCCUGAAUUGUAGUAGUUCACAUGUCAGAGGAAAAGGGUUCAGCCUGAGGUAGAAGUGACAGAGAUGGAGACAGAAGGAGAAAUUUGAGGUAUAUUUUGCAGAUAGAAAUGACACUCCUCAUAAGCAUGUGGGAGAGGAAAAUGUUUUUGUCUCCCCUUUCAGGCAUAUUGGAAGUUACAUUUCCAUUCUCUACAUACCUCCCCCACACACCUGUAUGUUACUGGGAAUUAAACCCAGGGUCUUCAUACUGAGCUACAUUUUCACACCAUUUUAUUUUUUAUUUUAUUUUUUAUUUUAUUUUAUUUUUCAGACAGUAGAUGGAGUGAUUGAUCAGGGUUUAAUGAUUUUUGGAUCUCCUUUUCCUUGGAGGUGAGGUGGGGACACAUAAUAGGUUGAUAGAGAUAUUUCCCAUCUUCAAAAACCUUACUGAAAAUGAAACCAGAAAAUUCAUUUAAAGUUAUGAAAAAUACAUUGACUGACCUUUGAAGUUCAAGUAAGCCCAAAAUGAGCAGGAUAAUUAAGACAAGUGAAAAGGCUAAGAAAAUAUAUGAAGCUUGACUAAUAAGCAUGUUUAAAAUAAAUAAUGUAUUUUCAUGAGUUAUUGAUGAUCUUAUAAUUCACGAUUGCUGAGAAAUUAACAAAAGAUGAUUUAUAAAAGGUCAUCAAGAGCAUGUAAGAAGGCGACAGCUCAUUGCUUACCUUCUAAUUAGAGAUGUAGAAAGAAGAUAAGCAGAGGGAAAAAAGGGAGAAGGUAUACUAGAAAAGGGUAUAGACUCAUUUAAUAAUGACCCCACCCCUCAAGUUUUUAUCCUUCCAGCCAAUCAAAAAGUAAUGUACUGGGCCGGGGAUUUAGCUCAGUGGUGCUGCUGCCUGCCUCGCAAGCACAAGGUCCUGAGUUCAAUCCCCAGUGCCAAAAAAAAAAGUGAUGUACUAUAUAGGAAGUAAGAUCUUUGCAGAUGUAGUGAAUUGAGGCCAUACCAGAUUAGGGUGGGUCCUAAAUCUAGUAUUACUUGUGUUCUUACAAGAAGAGGGGGAAAAAAAAGAAAGAAGAGGGGAGAACACUGAGAUACUCGGAGACACACAGGGAAGAAACCCAUAUGACAAGAGGCAGAGGUGGAGUCAUAGAGCUUCAAGCCCAGAAGCCAGUUGCCAGCAGCCACCAGAAACUAAGAUACCCGUGAACCUUGUUCUUCCCAGAGCCUCAGAGCAAGCUCUGCCUCCCUGGCACCUUGACCCUAGCCUCUGGAAGAGGUGAGAGAGUAUUUUGUAUUUCCACUGCUUUAAGUCACCUCAGUUUUGGCUUUAUUACUGCAGCCUGAGGAAACUAGUACAUAUAUCAAAAACACAUGUAUUUUUUAAAUUAGUGUUUAAUUCAGAAAGUGUGUGGUCCCUUAAAGACUAUGGAAUAAUCACGAUAAGAACCAUGCUUUUUAACUCAAAUAUUAAAUUCAAUAUUUAUAUUUGGAAAAGUCAGUGAGCAACGUAGAAUUCAGUCAUAUAUCUGAAUACCUAUUCUGUUCAAUAAAUUAUUGGAAGAUCAGAGUGCUAAGAGUGAGGAUUGAUUAAGAAUUUUAUAAAUUAUAGGCCUCAAAUAACUUCACUUGGUGCAAUAAAAGAAGAUAUAUUAUUAUAAAGUACUAAAUUGAACUGUAACUAAGGAUUGAAAAGAAAGGCACAAAUACUGAUGUUUAUGAAGCAUUAAAGAAGAUAUAAAAAGUGGGAAAUGCAGCUAGGCAUGGUGAAUACUCCUGAAAUCCCAGCUCUCUGGGGAGCUGAGGAGAAGGAUCAGAAGUUUGAUUUCUAGGAAGCAUAUUUAUUAACUUUAGCCUUUUCUUUAUAUGAUGCUUUAUAACCAUUAGUAUUUGUGCCUUCCUUUUCAGUCCUUAGCUACAGUUCCUUUAGUACUUUAUACUAUCUUCUUUAUUGCACUAAAUUAAGUUACUUAGCAAGGCCCUAUCUGAAAAUAAAAAAUGGAUGAGGAUGUUGCUUAAUGAAAACAAAGGCUCAGUGCAAAGGUUCAAUCCCCAGUACCAUAAGAAAAGAAAAAAAUUCAAAGGUUUUGUAGCACAUUCUUGAAUGCAAAUGUUGAUGUUUUCAUUUCAAAUUAAUUAUUUUUAUUUAGUAUACUCCAUUUUCUAAUUGCUCUUGUUUAAUGCAGCAAUAAGCUCAAACGUUUUAUUAUUUGAAAUUACAGUUAAUGUUCAAUUAUCACUUACUUUAAAGUCUAUUUUUUAAUUUUAAAAUCAUCACUGUUCAUAUCCUAACAUUCAACUGAUUAAAAUUGGUUGUUACAUGUGUGGGAAGUCACCCUAUUGAAUUAUAGUUUAGUGCAUCUAUCUUCAAUUGCAUAAUCAUUAUUUUCAUAGUGCCAUUUUAAAUAUUCUAGUAUAAACCACCAUUGUUUGUUAAAAUAUGUAGAUACACAGAAAAAUAUUGGGAAUUUUUACUUAGGUUCCCUUAACUCACUGAUAUUUUUUAAAAGAGCUAACAGACCCCCCCCAGGACACACAACUUGGAGUCUAAUAUCACUUUGCAAUAAAAGAAACUAAGCUCCUUAGAGAAAUGGCUGACUAUAGGAGUGGAACACAGAAUGUACAAGAUGAGCCUGGAAUGUAUUGUAUUUCCUGAAAGUGAGGGGUUGUUCAAAAUACACACACACACACACAUACACAGAUGGAGCCUACCAGAAAGACAUGGGAGCUUUCCAGAAAAAGCUUUCAGUGGCCAGUGCUGGAACAAAACAGACAGUGUCAUGUUGGAUCAUAACCCACUAAAUAAAAUAAAUAUCCAUGAGUCCAUACUCAUGGGCUAAUAAAUAAGUAAAAGCAGAGAAGAGAGAAAUCUGUAUAAAUGAUUUCAAAUAACUUGUUUAUGCAUUCCAAUCUUGAAGGAGCAGAUCUGAUUUCUCUAUCCCAUGAGUAUGGGUUGUGCAUAGUGCAUUGUUUCCAAAGAGUAUAGUGUGCAAAAGUAGGGGGGAAUGUAAUUACAAUGGAGGAACAUGGCCAGGUAAUCAAAAGUAGCAUUAUCCGUGAUGAGGCAAGCUGCUAAUGGGUGCCCUUGAGAAGAUGUGGUGAAGAUGGCCCUUCACCUCAUUGAUCUUCCAUCACCCCAACCCACAAUCCCAGUGUAAGCAUAAGAAAAACAUCAGACAAGCCAAAAUGGAGGGCAAAGAUUUAGAGUUAAGAAUCUGCACAAACCAAUUCACUUUAGCCAAGACAGAGAAGCAGACUAGAUGCCCAUCAGCAGAUGAAUGGAUAAAAUGUGGUCCAGAAACACAUAAUGGAAUAUAUGCACACAGUGGAGUAUUAUUCCUCCACAAAGAAGAAUGAAAUUCUGUCAUUUGCAAGAAAAUGGAUGGGUCCAAGACUGUCAUGUUCAAAAGAAUAAGCCUAAAGUCUCUAAAGACAAAUAUUGCAUACUCUCCCUGAAAUCUAAAAAGGAUGACAAGAAAGUAGAAGGGAGACUGUUACUAGACAAGAGAAAGGGAGUGAGUGAGAAGAGGGGUGUAUGGGAAGAUAAAUGGAGGCGUGGUGAUAUGAGCAGAAUAUGCCUAUUGAAAGCCCAAGAAUCUGAAACUAAGGGAGAGGGUAGAGCAAGCAGGGUGAUGGAGGUGAGUGUUACCAAGUGUGCGAUGUGCAUAUACAUGUCUGCCAAAAUGAAACCCAUUCAUUGUAAUUUUUUAACAAUGCACAGAGGCCAAGGCAAUCAGAUAGGGCUAUCCAGGGAACCAGCCUUGCACUUCUGCAGAGAGAUCCUUAGAGAACCUCAGCAAAGUGGUUUUGGUUUUUGGUUUUGGGGCGGUUGGGGGUUGGUACCGGGGAUGAAACUCAGGACCUUGCACUGUCGAGGCAGGCGGAACCACUGAUCUAAAUCCCUGGCCCCUUUAGCUAAGUGUUGAUGCGCUUGGAGUGAACCAACUAUAGAGGCCAAAGGAAGCAAGCAACAUAACCCUUGGGCUCACUGAGGGCUUGGGAUAUCUAUUCCUACCAGCCAAGGUGGAAGACACAACUCAUGGAACCAUCAAGGAGAAAGAAGCCACAGAAGGCUGCUGCCUCACAGAGGGGCAUGUGAGCCAUGGAAGAAAGCUUUGAAUGAAAAAAGAUCAAACUACUUUUAAGGAAAUCAACCACAUCCCAAAGCCAAGCUCAACACAGUUUAAGAA